UAAGGAAUAUUGCACAAUGGGCGCAAGCCUGAUGCAGCAACGCCGCGUGCCCGAGGAAGGCCUUCGGGUUGUAAAGGGCUUUUCUGGCUGAAGAGGCAGGACGGUAGGCCAGGAAUAAGCGUCGGCUAACUACGUGCCAGCAGCCGCGGUAAAACGUAGGACGCGAGCGUUAUCCGGAUUUACUGGGCGUAAAGCGCCGGCAGGCGGCUGUUCAAGUCGGACGUGAAAGCUCCCGGCUCAACCGGGAGAGGCCGUUCGAAACUGGGCAGCUAGAGGGCAGCAGAGGGGCGUGGAAUUCCGGGUGGAGUGGUGAAAUGCGUAGAGAUCCGGAGGAACACCAGAGGCGAAGGCGGCGCCCUGGGCUGCACCUGACGCUGAGCCGCGAAAGCCAGGGUAGCGAACGG
rnacentral:rRNA from 1 species